GAAAGAUAUUUGGGAAAGGAUAGAGAAAUAAUAAUAACAAUAAUGGUGAUAUUAUUAUUAUUAUAAAUAUCUCGUAUUACGUGCCAUCAUCUUCUUCCUCUUUAGAAAAAAGGAACCCUAAACGUCGCCGCCUCCUUCACCACCGGCAGGCACGCACGAUCUCCAUCAUCUCCAACCGUCGGCUGCCGCAGCGUCGAUCGUCAAGCCGAUCCUCGUCUCCACAAGCCGCCGACGUUUCACGUCACCCAUCUUCUUGCCUUCGCUCGUGGGUCGUCCAAUCUCCAUCACGGUUGUCGCGCCGCCACCUCGGUCCACCGAUCGUCCGUCGUUUGCUGAACCAAGUCGCCGUUGUGCAAGCGGCUGUUUCGAUCAGUCCGAGCCAAGUCGUCCCAGUCGGAGCUUUGUCCAAGCCGAGCAUGUAGGUGUGAGCCGCGCCUUCCAGUCGCACGAUUUUGCUCCGAGCCGUACACGAACCCGCGCCCAGUCGAGGUUGAGCUUUCAGUCGUGCGCACGUGUGAGUCGCGCCCCAGCGCGCCCGCCAGCCAUUCAUCUAAGUCGCGCCUCCUGCAUCUGAGCCACGUGCAAGUCGCCUCUUCGUGCAAGCCACCUAUCCGAGCCGCCCUUCUUUUCAGCCUUGAGCCGCGAAGCCUCUUUCAAGCCGCCUAGCCUAUUUUGGUCUUUUCACUUAAUUUUGAUCAGUUGGGAGUUGUGUUGUAGAAUUUCUCUAAACCAAGGAUAAAUUGGGUUCGUCUUCAACUUUAGGUAAGUGGAGAUAAUUGGAAUUUGAUCCCUUAUUUAUUUAUUAAUUUUAGAUUUUGGAUCCACUUGUGUUUAGGAUUUUCCUUGAGAAGCGUGACCGCGACUUUUAGGAAAAAUAUCAGUGUAACUAAUUUCCAAGUAAGAGAUUCUACUACUAGACCUUAGACUGAAUUUAAGAGACCGCAUGUAUUAACGGUUAUGCAUUUAGGGUGGCUAAGGUGCAUAAGGGAUGCUGUAGAUGAUGGUUGAUAUUGUGUUUAUGAUGGCAACUGAAGUUAUGGCUGAGGAUGAUGAUCAUUAUGUUAUGUUUGAUUUUGAUACAUGCUAUAUUAAUCACGUGAAUAAGGACGUUAAGAAUAAUACUCAAAUCAUGUUAUGAUGCUUAUGAUGA